rnacentral:rRNA from 1 species
GUAGGGAAUAUUGCGCAAUGGGCGAAAGCCUGACGCAGCGACGCCGCGUGAGCGAUGAAGGCCUUCGGGUCGUAAAGCUCUGUUGCAGGGGAAGAAAUACGUAUGACUAAUACUCAUACGGGUUGACGGUACUCUGCGAGAAAGGACCGGCUAACUUCGUGCCAGCAGCCGCGGUAAGACGAAGGGUCCUAGCGUUGUUCGGAAUUACUGGGCGUAAAGCGCAUGUAGGCGGCUAAAUAAGUCAGAUGUGAAAUCCCUUGGCUCAACCAUGGAACUGCAUUUGAAACUAUUUAGCUUGAGUACGGUAGAGGAUAGCGGAAUUCCUGGUGUAGUGGUGAAAUACGUAGAUAUCAGGAGGAACAUCGGUGGCGAAGGCGGCUAUCUGGCCCGCUACUGACGCUGAGAUGCGAAAGCGUGGGUAUCAAACAGGAUUAGAAACCCCUGUAGUCC